rnacentral:rRNA from 1 species
CCUACGGGAGGCAGCAGUGAGGAAUAUUGGUCAAUGGACGCAAGUCUGAACCAGCCAUGCCGCGUGCAGGAAGACGGCUCUAUGGGUUGUAAACUUCUUUUGUCCGGGGGUAAAUGCCGCUACGUGUAUCGGGUUGGAGGUAACGUACGAAUAAGGAUCGGCUAACUCCGUGACAGCAGCCGCGGGAAUACGGAGGAUUCAAACGUUAUCCGGAUUUAUUGGGGUUAAAGGGUGCGUAGGCGGUUCGUUAAGUUAGGUGGUAAAGCUCGGGGCUCAAACGCCGCACUGCCUCUGAUACUGGCUGGCUAGAUUGUAGUGGCGGUAGGCGGAAUGUAUGGUGUAGCGGUGAAAUGCAUAGAGAUCAUACAGAACACCGAUUGCGAAGGCAGCUUACCAGACUACGACUGACGCUGAGGCACGAAAGCGUGGGGAGCAAACAGGAUUAGAUACCCCAGUAGUC